rnacentral:rRNA from 1 species
CCUACGGGAGGCAGCAGUGGGGAAUAUUGCACAAUGGGGGAAACCCUGAUGCAGCGACGCCGCGUGAGUGAAGAAGUAUUUCGGGAUGUAAAGCUCUAUCAGCAGGGAAGAAGCAAGACGGUACCUGACUCAGAAGCCCCGGCUAACUACGUGCCAGCAGCCGCGGUAAUACGUAGGGGGCAAGCGUUAUCCGGAUUUACUGGGUGUAAAGGGAGCGUAGACGGUAUGGCAAGUCUGAAGUGAAAGCCCAGGGCUUAACCCUGGGACUGCUUUGGAAACUGUUAGACUAGAGUGCGGGAGAGGUAAGUGGAAUUCCUAGUGUAGCGGUGAAAUGCGUAGAUAUUAGGAGGAACACCAGUGGCGAAGGCGGCUUACUGGACAGUAACUGACGUUGAGGCUCGAAAGCGUGGGGAGCAAACAGGAUUAGAUACCCUUGUAGUC